rnacentral:lncRNA from 1 species
GCAGCAUACGGAGGUUUCCAGGCUAGGGUGUGGAAUCAGAGCUAUAGCUGCUGGCCUAUACCACAGCCACAGCAACGCCAGAUCCACAGCUCAUGGCAAUGCCAGAUCCUUAACCCACUGAGUGAGGCCAGGGAUCGAACUCACAUCCUUAUGGAUCCUAGUCAAUUUUGUUAAACCACUGAGCCACGAGGGGAACUCCAACCAUGAUAAUAUUAAUAUUAGGAGUUAAUGUUGUGGCUCAGUGGGUUAAGGACUAGACGUUGUCUCUGUGAGGAUGAGAAUUUGAUCCCUGGCCAUACUCAGUUGGUUAAGGAUCUGGUGUUGCCACAGCUGUGGCAUAGGUUGCAGAUGUGGCUUGGAUCUGGUUUUGCCAUAGCUGUGGUGUAGGCCAUAGUUGCAGCGCUCAUUUGACCCCUGGCUCAGGAACUUCCAUGUGCUGCAGGUGUAACUAUAAAAAGAAAAAAGAAAAAAGAAAAAAAUUAAUAUUAAGAACAUUUAGAUUAGUAGAUCCAACUUUUUAAGUAUUUUAGUAUUUUAAAAUAGUUUGCUAUUUAGCUUUUGAUUGUUUUUAGUGUUUUCAAUAUGUUGAAGAUGUGAAUUACUAAAAUGAGGAUGAAAUUAAAUGGUUGAAGUGGAAAUGCAGUAAUUUGGCUAGCUCUUCUCUCUAGAUGAAAAAUAUAUCCUGAAGAAAUUCAAUUCCUUGGAACCAAAUACAUUUUAAAAUUCUAAUUCAUUUUUCUUGCAAUUUAUAGGUCUAGCAUUAUUAAAAUAUUCAUAUCGUUGAGCUAAUGAGGCAUAACAAAUUUAAUUUGCAAAACAAAGAUGACAGGAAUAGAACAUGAUCCAUAAUCACUUUUUUCUAAGCCUCAUGUUGUAGGCACUUCAUCAGAAAGAGAGACAGAUCAGACAUAUUUUAUAACUCCGUAGAACUUUGCAGAUAAACUCUUGGAAGAUUGUGGAAUAAUAGAAUUUUGGAACAAAACGUUUUGUAUCGUUUUCACUGUUUCUCAUUUGAGUAGGGUGCAACCCCACUGUGCUUGUCAGGGUUGUUUGACACGUGUAGGGGUGCAUUGUGUUGUUUGUCACCAGGAAGUCUUCAUUCCACAGUGUCAAUUGAUUCCGUGAAGGGGGAACAGAAGAGGGAUGGUAGAGAGAGCCACGGAUCGCCUUGCUGGUCCAUGGCCAGCUCCAGUGCAGAGAUGGCCAUGGCGGAUCCAUGUGGUGGGCAGAAAUGGCCAGACGCUCCUAUGAUGACCAUACUCCACUGCUGGCUGGAGCUUCUUGACAAGGGGAGGGGGGCUCCCUUUCAACCUGGGAGCCCAUCCCAGGGGGCUGCCCGCUAGGUGUCCUCCUCGUAGCUGAUACACAGGCUCUUCCUCAGAGGUGGCUGCGAGUAGCCCAUCUCCAACUCUGCAGCCCAUCUCCAACUUGGUUCCUAAAUCCAGCUGAGCAUCCAUCUGGAGGCUGUUUGCCAUGGAUACCACAGAUGGCCAGAGUUCAGCACUGGUACACGGCUGGACCGUCUGAGUUCGUAGCAUCUCUUACGGGGAGAUUAUUCACCUUUCCUUCUGGUUUUUCGGGGGAGUGUGCAGAAGGAGCCUGGCAAGGAGCUCAAGGGGUUUUGCUGUGAUAAAGCUUGUCUGUUUGAAGGGCCAUUUAACUCUGCCUAAAGCAGGGGUUCUUGUUUUCAGUUCUAGUAGUAGGGGUGGUGGUAAUUACAGCAGGAGGGGGGAGAGGAAGAGACGUAGCAGUAGUAUUAAUAGGAAUAAUAAUCAUAGCUAAUGCUUCAUGGACACGGUGAUAAGGUCUGCCGUGUAAAAUCUUAUGCACUACUUACAAGAACACUACAGAGCAAGUAUUGGUAUUAUUUUCAUUUCAGAGAUAAUAUAUGCAGAGGUUAAAUAGACUGAUACAGGAAAGAAGUGGAAUUUCAGACCCAUGUGCUAGGAUUCCCCAAGCACCUGUUGCUGUUCGCUACCAUUUCAAAUCUAGAUGUGGGUUUGAUUAUUCCACGUGCUUAUUGCAUAAUGUGCCUCGUACCUAUGUAUUUAAUUAUUGUUAGGCCUCCAUUUGCUCACCUGUAGAAAGUCAAGAAUAACAAGAACCAACCUGACUUUGUCAUGGCGUUAAUGUGAGAAAAAAAAAGGAUGAUGUUGAGAAAGGGCUCUAUGAAAUGUAAACUCUUCAUCGGUAAUGUUGGUUAUUAUCGUACUGGUAUGAAAUAGUCUGCGUUCUGGAAAGGAGAGUGCCAUGCCUUUAUGCAAGUCUGACCGUAGCAGGGCUGGGAGAUUCAUUCUCAGGAAUUACUAUGAUCGCAGAAAUUUGAGAGCUGGAAAGGCUCUGGAGAUGAUCCCGUUCGGUGGUUCUCAACGCAGCUACCUGUUUAUUUCUUUUGGGGGGAGCUUUUCAACAUUGUGGAUGCCCAGGAGUCAGUCCAUUUCCAGAGAUCCUGUUUCAUUGGUCUGGAGGAGGGCGUAGACAUCUCAGUGUAUUACAUGAAAACACAUGUGCAUUUGUCCAUGUAAAGUGUACAUACACAUGCACGUGUGUGUAUGUGCUUGUGUGUGUGUGUGCGCACGCAUGCAUGUGUGUAUUCUCCAAGGUGAUUCUGAUGUGUAGUCAGGAGGCACACAUGACCAAAUAAACCAACCAGCUUCUUUCUGAUAACUGGGAUGCUCAUUGCUUUGCCCAGGACGGUGACAGCCAACCUCUGCUGCCCAGGGUCCCAGCUGAUAAGCCCACCCCUUUUCCCUCUCGUGUGUCGUGGUCUGGAUGAUAAAUUCUCCCUUCCUCUGCUGAUGAGGAACUGAGGCUUUGGGAGGCUCUUUUCCUUCCGAAAGAAACUGCAUAGAGCGUCCACCUUGGGCUUUCAGGGUUCCCUUGGGAGUCUUGUGGAACAUGUGCCUCCUCCUUCAAGAGAGAAUUUCUUCAUUUUGCUAGGAUCAUAAGACCUUUCUUCUUUUUCUUUUUCUUUGUGUUUUUUGUCUUUUUAGGGCCGCACCCGCAGCAUAUGGAAAUUCCCAGGUUAGGGGUCGAUUCGCAGCUGUUGCUACUGGCCUACACCGCAGCCAUAGCAACACAGGAUCCGAGCCACAUCUGUGACCUACACCUCAUCACAUGGCAACACGGAUCCUUAAUCCACUGAGCGAGGCCAGGGAUCAAACCCACAUCCUCAGGAAUACUAGUCAGGUUCAUUACGGCUGAGCCACGAUGGAAACUCCAAGAGCUCUUCAGUAGAGAACUCCACUGUGUUGCCACGUAACCCACCUGAGUUUUGCGAUCCCGAGAUCUCCCAUCUCACCUGAAUCAUGGAUGCCAACCACCUUUCAGCACUGUUUCAGUUGCUGCAGGCACCUUCUCUGGAAUGCCAGCCAUUGCAAUUGAGGAAAUGACAUUCGGAAAACAGAUGACCCGCUUAUCAACCUCUCAGAACUUAUUCUCCGAACACCAUGCAGGGCAGUGUGGCCCUUGCUGGACAGGACAUCGCUGAUGACAACGUCUGUGAGACCUCUGCCCAACAGAACAUUUGACGUCGACCGAGAGAUCUGACCUGUCACUGCUUGGACAGCCGCUGCUGCCAACGUCGGUGGAGACUUUCUCGGCCAGUGUCAAAUCUGAUUUUGGCAUUGAGGUUGGCGUAACUGAGCAUAAACAUGCCCCUGAAGAAUUAGGACACUUCUCAGGUAGUCGUCUGCCUUUUGGGGGUACACAGGAAGUCGGUAUUCAGUACCCAUGGGAUGCUGUGGUUGUGACACAUGUUUUCUGUGACAGUCAUUUGCAUUUCUCCUCAUCAUUGGGCGUACCGUUCCGCUGACUCAAUCAGAAGUGCCCAUCUCGGAAGAUGAAACACUUCCAUUGAAGGACAUCAGAGGGGAAUAAAGGACAGUGGACGUUCCUGUCCCCCCGCAUUAAUGGCUUCACCGCCUCGGGCGAUCCAGGGGAUGUAUGACACCCCAAAGAUGCAGUGUUGUCCGGGAGACUGCAGUCUUCACGGUUUUAUUUGCCACACAUUGUGGGUGAAAGAGACGGAUUUGAUCUUCUUUUGCAAGGUUCAGGAAAACCCUUUGCAAAAUAUGCUGAUGCUUUUCUUUGAUUGCAGAAUUGCAUUAGUCUCACUGCUGAUGGUAGAAAUGUGUUGGGCUGGUCCACAUGGCUCCUCAGCACACCGUGGGCUCCUGUUACUCAAAAAAAAAAAAAAUAAGUGUAGGGAGUUUCCUGGUGGCCUCGUGGUUGGCGACGUGGCAUUGUCACUGCUGUGGCUUGGGUUCCAUCCCUGGCCUGGGACCUUCUACAUGCCU